rnacentral:piRNA from 1 species
UAUUAUUGUCUUCUAGUUGUCGAAUUGUC